GCAGAGUGGUUCCAUUCCCAUGGCAAGGCCAUAAAGCACAGAGUAACCUGUAAUGUUGGUGAAGCCGAUGGCUAGUGCACCUCCUGCCAGCUCCAAGCUUCCUAGCCUUCCUAUGCAUGCUACUGAAAUCAUGUUUUUCAGGCGAACGCGGCGGCGGGGCUCGUAUCCUUAACAGAACAAGUGCAUUUUCUUACACUGAUUGAUUUGAGGAGUGAAAGAGUAGUGCAGCAUCAAAAGACAAAAUUUCGCAUUGCUUGAUUUGGUUGCUGAUGUAAAUUAUCUUGAAAAUAAUUAAGGUACGUACCCUCACAAAAAGAAAAGGGUUAAUUGUCCAUAAAUUACUGAACUUUCAUCCAAUUCUGGUUUUGCACACAAACCUUGAACUGUUGCGUGAUAAUUAUUAAACUUUUGAUUUUAUCUGAUUUUGCUACUAAUCCAAAUUCCGGCCAAAUAGCAAGCUAAUAUAUAAUAUGGUGUGCCAAUUUUGACAUGACGUAUUUAUUAUUGCGUGACAAUUAGUUGACAAAAUAAUAUUUUUUUUAUUUAAUUUCUUAUCAAUAAAAAAAGAACACAAAGCAAAUAACUCAAAUUGUCAAUAAUUUAAUAUAUUGAAUCAAAUAAUAGUAUUUUUUUAGUUGAAUUAAUUAGCUGAAUAAAUUCGAUAAUAGUAAGGGAAUUCUUCGAAUUUAGGUGCGUCAACCAAAGAACAUUUUAAUUAUCAAUAACUUAAUAUAUAAAAAAUUUAUUUAGCUAAGUAAUAAAGUUUAUUAAAUUUUCAUUAUCUAAAGAUUAAUUUUUUUUAUAAACUAUAUAUAUUUAUACUAUUUGAAUGAGUUCUAUUUUAUAUAUUGGAGUAAUCAGUUGUGUAAUAGUGAACUAGAUGUGUAAUAGUGAACUAGAAAAAAUUGAUUUAAACUUGAGAAUUUUUUUUAAAAAAUACUAUUAUUUGAUUUGAUAUAUUAAGUUAUUGACAAUUUGGGUUAUUUGCUUUGUGUUCUUUUUUUUUAUUAAUAAGAAAUUAACAAUAGAUACGUCACGCCAAAUAUUUGCACGUCAUAUUAGCUUGGUAUUUAGCCGGAAUUUGGAUUAGUAGCAAAAUCAGAUAAAAUCUAAAGUUUAGUAAUUUUCAAGCUAUAUUUCAAAGUUUGUGAUUGAAAGAAAGUUCAGUAUUUUAUGGGCAAUUAACCCAAAAGAAAAUAAUGGAAUGGUGAACCAAAUUAACAAGUUCUAUGCUAUUCUAUAAUUUCAAAAUUUUAUGUUAGAUCUUUUCAAAAAAAAAAUUAAAAAAUUAUGUUAGAUUAUUAAUAAAUAUUGCAUGUAUUUGGAAAUUUUCUAUAAAAUUACUUGUAGAUAUAUGUGAGUAAUGAUUUCAGAAUCGGAGACGAAACACUGUCACUGGCACCUACAGUAGAAGAUCUCAUCUCAUCUUGAGCCUUUUGGUGAGUCAAUGAGAUAUUCUUCUCCUUGUGGCCAUUGUUCUUUACUUUAUUUUCACUCCUCGCCAUUUAGGUUGUGGAAAAUUUGUUGUUUAAUUUAUAAAUGUCACUUCUAUAUUGAUGAUGUUAAUUAAUAGUUACUCCCUCAAAGCUUAAGUUACUGAAA